AUUUUUAUUUGCCAAACUCGCUGCGAAGUGAGGACGGAAAGCCACGGGUCUUUAUCAAAUAAAAGAUAGCCGGGUUGCGUAA
rfam:Vibrio sp. JCM 19231 DNA, contig00077.